GUAACUGACCUAGCGGCGGACGGGUGAGUAAUGCUUAGGAAUCUGCCUAUUAGUGGGGGACAACAUUCCGAAAGGAAUGCUAAUACCGCAUACGCCCUACGGGGGAAAGCAGGGGAUCUUCGGACCUUGCGCUAAUAGAUGAGCCUAAGUCGGAUUAGCUAGUUGGUGGGGUAAAGGCCUACCAAGGCGACGAUCUGUAGCGGGUCUGAGAGGAUGAUCCGCCACACUGGGACUGAGACACGGCCCAGACUCCUACGGGAGGCAGCAGUGGGGAAUAUUGGACAAUGGGCGCAAGCCUGAUCCAGCCAUGCCGCGUGUGUGAAGAAGGCCUUUUGGUUGUAAAGCACUUUAAGCGAGGAGGAGGCUCCUUUAGUUAAUACCUAAAGAGAGUGGACGUUACUCGCAGAAUAAGCACCGGCUAACUCUGUGCCAGCAGCCGCGGUAAUACAGAGGGUGCGAGCGUUAAUCGGAUUUACUGGGCGUAAAGCGUGCGUAGGCGGCUUUUUAAGUCGGAUGUGAAAUCCCUGAGCUUAACUUAGGAAUUGCAUUCGAUACUGGAAAGCUAGAGUAUGGGAGAGGAUGGUAGAAUUCCAGGUGUAGCGGUGAAAUGCGUAGAGAUCUGGAGGAAUACCGAUGGCGAAGGCAGCCAUCUGGCCUAAUACUGACGCUGAGGUACGAAAGCAUGGGGAGCAAACAGGAUUAGAUACCCUGGUAGUCCAUGCCGUAAACGAUGUCUACUAGCCGUUGGGGCCUUUGAGGCUUUA
rnacentral:rRNA from 1 species